rnacentral:misc_RNA from 1 species
AGAUCCAUGUUUAUCAUAAUCUGCUGGAUGAAGUUUAUCUGCAGCUCGUGCAUCUAUUAACCAUUCUUUCUCCGAUGAACGAGCAUCAGCACAUUCAGUAUCUCUACCGUCAAUUUCACCUUUCCGGCGUUUGUUCAGUCUAUCAAGCUCUUCUGCGGGAAUAGAUCUCUUCUGUACUUUUUCAUUAGCUUUAGAAGCAUCUUGUCUAGGCGAAUGAACCAGACGCAAUGUGGACUCCUUAUGCACAUCAGAACUUUCAGUGACAUCAUCUUUUCCAGCAGAAACCCUCAGAUCAGCAGAUUUAGUAGUUGUAUGUUCAGCAUUAGAUUCGUUUGAAGGAUCUAACAAUCUCGUCAAUGGAGCUGCACCUUUAGGUGCAGCAGAAAACAUGCUACCGUUCCCUGAAACUGUAGUAGAAACAUUAACACUCCCACUUGCUCUGCUCUCAGAAGGAUAACUAACAUCACCAGAAGCAGCUCCAGAUGCUCUUCCAACAGUUUUCCCAGAUUUUUCAUCUUUUGCAAUAUCAUGUUUUUGUUGCUUUGACAGAGAUCCAACCGGAGUAGAUCGCUUGCCUGUGCCUCUUCCCUCCUGCUCGCCAGACAUCUUAGAAGCAGCUUUUAUGGUACUCUCUUCCAAUGGUCUACACAUAGAGUUUUGACUUGGAGUAUCAGACUGCAGGGUAGCAGAUGGCAUAGAUUGCACAUCCAGUCCAUUAAUUGAUUGACUGCCCUUAUGUUUUGCCUGACCUAAAUCAGGCUUCGGCAUAGAACUGUCCGGCCUAUCCAACUUUCCAUCAACUACUCUUCCUGCCACCACGGUUCUUCCAAUAGAAGGCUCACCUUGAGAAACACUAGCACCACUCCCAUUUGCGAUGGCCACUGAAUUACCAGCCGAAGACUUAGAAGCAGGUACUGCUGCAAGUUUUAGUUCUAGGUAACCCAUUCCAAACUCUUCAUCUGUCACCCAUGAUGGCUUUCUAGAUGCCAAAGCUGCAGCAACCCCUGUAGCCAAUACUUUGAGAUCCUCUCUUUCAUCAGAUUUAAUUUUGGCAACCCUCUUCUCAAGGUUUAUUCCACUCUUCCGAGUAACUGGAAAGACACUGGAGAUCUUUGUCAAUAAAAUAAGAGCA